AUAGCCAAAACAACGAGGACCGGAAGCAGAAGAACUCAGAACUAGAAGAGAAGCUUCAAGUCCUAGUGACCGAAGAUUUCGACUCAAUCUGAAGCAACUGCAAAGGAAGCUGGAGAGGGCUAAGAUCCUGCUUCUGGAAAAGCAAGAAAGCCAGCAAAACCAGGGAGAGCCCUAAAGAGGCAGUUAGAGUUCAAAUCAGACAAUUGGAAUCUUGAUGUUUGAGAAAGCAGAAAUGAAGACAGCACUGUAUCACACUGAACGUGCUGCUGCCAGGCAGUUUGAAGCAGAAGAACAUGGACAGUGUGAGUCCUACAGCCUCCCUCAUCCCCUGGCAGCCCAGCUUCCCAGAUGGAGGAGUUGAAGCUGGUUAUGAAGCCCUUGAUGCUAACCAGCAGUUACAGCAGGCCAUGGAGGAGCGGGCACAGCUGGAAGUACACCUGGGGCAGGUAAUGGGGUCACUGAAACAACUACAGAUGGAGAAAGAUCAACACGCUGAGAAUCUGAAAGGAGAGAGCGCCUUGUGGUGGCAGAGGAUGCGGGAGAUGUCAGAGCAGGUGCACGCGUUGAGGGAGGAGACGGUGCAUAGCAUGAGUCGAGUACAGGAGCUGGAGACGAUCUUGGCUGAACUAAGGAACCAGAUGGCCUGCUGUGGCUGCCACAGGUCAGAACCUGCUGCUGUCUUUUGCUGAACUCCAGGGGGAGCGAGGUCCUCAUGUAUUCAUGAAGGAGGCCGUGCAGCCCCUGCUUUGAGCUUUGGCCAUUCAAAAUGCUGCCUAGCAGCCCAAGGCCUGGGCAAACCAUAUCCACACCCCCGAGUGGCUCCAAGCAUGCAUGACUGUCACUGUCAUUGCAAUCAUCAUGCUAGCCCCAAUCUCAUGGAUGAAAGCAAGACCUUCUCAUUAACCGAGAGCCUGCAACAACUCUCCCAACAGCUCAAUGGCGUUGUUUCUGAGGAACUUCAGAAAUUGAGGGGAGUGCGGGGGAAAGGAAAGUAUGAUAGAAAGAAACUGAGGCAGGAAUCACCAGAGAGAGGAAAGAUCCUGGGACUGGCCGAUUUGCUGGGCCAUGUUGAGGAAGUUGCCUCUUCCCUGAGGCUUCUUCCUUGAGGCUGUUCACAUGAAGGAGUUGUACCCCGUGGCUGGUUACAUCAUUUUAUCCUACUGUAGAAACACCAGAUGAGAGCUGCUUGGGAGGAAGGGAUGGUGGGGAGAUAAAAACCAUGAGAGAAGUUGGCACAAAGAGGUUAUGGGAUGAAGGGUCCAAGUUAGGCAGAAAAGAAAAUGUUGUCAGUUGCUGGGGAAGAAAGGAAGUCAGAGGGCUUAGACAUGGAGGGGACAGAAGAUUUCCAUGCGCACUCUCAUCUCUUGUAGUCAGCAACAGGUAUCUGUGCGGAGGGCUCUGGAUCAUCCGCUACCCUGAAGGAUCUGGAAAGCAGAUACCAAGAGGUAACAGUCGCCCUGGACUCGAGUUAUAUAACAAUCAGUCGACGGAAUAAAACCAUCGAGUCAUUGGAAAAGCAAGAAAGCCAGCAAAACCGGGGAGCCCUAAAGAGGCAAUUACAGGUUCAAUUCAGAUAAUUAGAGUCUUGAUGUUUGAGAAAGCAGAAUUGAAGACAACACUGUAUCACAAUGAACGUGCUGCCAGGCAGUUUGAAUGUGGGAAUCUGGGCACCCGUCAUCCUUCAACCUGGUGCUUUGACAGGCCUUUAGGGGGAGUCCUUUGGGCCCCAUCUCAACCUCUCUCAUUCUAGAAGAGGCCGAGGAUCUGGCCAGCCAUCUGCUGUAUUCCUGGCAGCAUGUGGGAGAGUUGGAGCAGGAGCAGAGGAAGGCAGAUAGGUACAACAACCAGUUAACCAGAGACAGCGAUGCCCUCAGGCUGGAGUUAUACAAUAACAGCAACAGCAAUAAGGAGCUGAAGCAGGAGAACUCAGCUUUGGCAGAGCAGCUUCAAGUUGUACUGAUUGACAAGGCAGGGAUGCAGUGUGACUUGGAGGAGCUGAAAAAGAAACUGGAACUCACUGAGCUCACGCUUCAACAGUUAUCUAGCUGGUGUGAAGCCCCUGAUGCUAACCAGCAGUUACAGCAGCCCACAGACGAACGGGCACAGCUGGAAGCACACCUGGGGCAGGUGAUGGAGUGGCUGAAGUAUCUGCAAAUGGAGAGAGAGCAGUAUGCCGAGUAUCUGCAUGGAGAGAGUGCCAUGUGGUGGCAGAGGAUGCGGGAGAUGUCAGAGCAGGUGCACACGUUGAGGGAGGAGAGAGUGCACAGCAUGAGUCGAGUACAGGAGCUGGAGACGAUCUUGGCUGAACUAAGGAACCAGCUGAACCCCUGCCCCCGGAGCCUCCAGCAGGGCCCUCCGAAGUGGAGCAGAAGCUACAAGCAGAGGCUGAGCACCUGUGGAAGGAGCUGGAGAAUCUGGCAGGACAGCUUCAAGCCCAAGUGGAAGAAAAUGAGGGCUUGAGUCACCUGAACCAAGAGCAGGAAGAGGUUGCUCAGGUUGUUGGAGCAAGAGGAGAAGUUGCUGGAGCAAGAGGAGAGGUUGCUGGAGCAAGAGGAGAGGUUGCUGGAGCAAGAGGAGAGGCUACUGGAGCUGCAGGAGAGCCUGCUAGAGCAGAAGCGGAAGGCCGCUUCCUUUCUCAGCUGAACCCCUACCCGGAGCCCCCAGCAGGGCCCUCCGAGGUGGAACAGCAGCUACAAGCAGAGGCUGAACACCUGCGGAAGGAGCUGGAGAAUCUGGCAGGACAGCUUUAAGCCCAAGUGGAAGAAAAUGAGGGCUUGAGUCGCCUGAACGAAGAGCAGGAAGAGGUUGCUGAGAUUGUUGGAACAAGACGAGAGGUUGUUGGAGCAAGAGGAGAGGUUGCUGGAGCAAGAGGAGAGGUUGCUGGAGCUGCAGGAGAGGCUGCUAGAGCAGAAGCGGAAGGCCGCUUCCUUUCUCAGCUGAACCCCUACUCCCGGAGCCCCCAGCAGGGCCCUCCGAGGUGGAGCAGCAGCUACAAGCAGAGGCUGAACACCUGCGGAAGGAGCUGGAGAAUCUGACAGGACAGCUUUAAGCCCAUGUGCAAGAAAAUGAGGGCUUGAGUCGCCUGAACCAAGAGCAGGAAGAGGUUGCUGGAGCAAGAGGAGAGGAUGCUGGAGCAAGAGGAGAGGCUGCUGGAGCUUGAGUGGAAAGCCGAGCCUUGAGAGGAGCAGGUGGAGGCGCUCAGGCAUACCGUGCGGAACGACCGUACCACCAUCAGGCGCGCGCUCUCCCAGAAACACGAACUGAAGAAGUAUCUGGGCGAGCUGAAGGAGAUGGUAACCCCCGCCCAAUUCAAGAAGGGCAGGGAGGUGGAGCUGAAGAACCAAGAGGCUCAGAGCCUGCCGCAGCGGGGAGACCAGUGCUGAGGUCUUCUGCAGCAGUACUAUCAGCAGCUGAUCUCUGAGGAGGAGGCACUGCACAGGCAGUUAUUUCUGCAGAUCCAGCUCGUGGACCAGCUGCAGCACCAGAGAAAAGAGUAGCAGAGAUGGCCUGCCAAGAGUUGCAGGAGACCCAGGAAAGGGAGUUGCUGAGGGCAGGUCCCCGAGGGGGAUGAGACCUGGCAACAUCCAUGCCUUCUCAUUCUCUUUCCUGACCCCUUAGGAGCGCCUGGAAGCAGAACCAGUAGCUACAGGCCCAGUUGAGUCUCAUGGCUCUCCCUGGGGAAGGAGAUGGACUGGAGAGUGAGGAGGAGGAGGAGCCUUGGUCCAUGCUGAGCAUCCUGGAGGACCUGGAGAGCUGGGAGACCAUGAUGAGCCUGACUCCCCAUGCCCCACCUUUGCUUCCUCCCUCUCUCCUCCCUCCCAGACACCCUUAUGCUCUUGGUUUUUCUGCCUUCUGAUUUCUUUGGACCCUCACCCCUUCCCUGGGAGCCAGUGGUCAGACACCAUUUCACCUGAGACCAAUAGGUGCACCCUCUGAGGCCCCAAGGGAAGGGCUUCUCUCUACUGCCCUGGCCCGUUCAUCCUGUGUAUCCCCCUACAAGAAUGGGCACCUCCUGCCCGCAGGUGGCAUUUUAAAACUUGGCUUUAGCCAGUGCCGAAGAGGAGCAGGCACAGCUACAUGGGCAGCUGAAGGAGCAAAGGGUGCACUGCCAGCGCCUGUCUUACCCGGUGGCCUUGGCCCAGAAGGAGCCAGAGGCAGCAGCCUCAGCCCCAGGGACUGGGGGCGAUUCUGUGUGGGGAAACCCACCGGACCUUGCAGGGGACCAUGGGGAAGCUGCAGAGCCGCUUUAUGGAGCUCAUGCAGGAGAAUGAGCGGGUGGAGAAACUGGAAUGUCGCUGCAUUCAGCUGUCUGGACAAACAGACACCAUCAGUGAGCGAGAGGAAAGUACGUCACAUCAUACCAGAGCCAGAGGUCAGUGCUGAAGACGUGGACCGGGAGAAUGAGUACAUAAGCAGGCUGGCUCAGGACAAGGAGGAGAUGAAGGUGAAGCUGCUGGAGCUGGUGUUGCAGCUUGUGGGCGACUGCAACAAGUGGCAUGGCAGAUUCCUGGCAGCUGCCCAGAACCCUGCUGAUGAGCCUGCUCCAUGGGACCCAGCCCCCCAGGAGAUUGGGGCUGCCAACAAGCAGGGUGAUCUCCCACAGUGUGGAGCCUGAACAAGAAGAGGCUGGGGAGGGUUUUCCCCACGACAGCCCCACGGCACAGCAGAUCAUGCGGCUGCUUCAUGAGAUGCAGAACCCCCAGGAGCGCCCAGGCUUGGGCAGCAACCCCUGCAUCCCCAUUUUUUACUGAGCUCAGGAGAGCAAGAUGAAGGUAACAAUCAUCUAAAAGCCAGCCACUGUCAGCAAAGCCUGGAGAAAUGGGACCAGAGAGUCUGCCCCUACCACGUCCCUGCCACCCCUUCCCAGUUACCCCUUUACCCUUACAGUAGCAAAAUAAGACCCCUAUCUAGUGAGGGAGACAGGUGCAGAUGAGGUGAAGAUCACUGUCAUCUAAAAGCAGGCCACCAAAUUUAAAAAAAAAAAGUUAUGGGAAAAAAUUUAUGGGAUUAAAAAAAGUUAUGGGAUUAAAGAAAUUAUGAAAAAAGCUGCAGGUAAAAUGUUAUGAAAAAAGUUAGUUAUGGAAAAAAGUUAUGGAAAAGUUAUAGAAAAAAAGUUAUGGGAUUAAAAAAUAGUCAUGGAUAAAAAUUUAAAAAAUAAAAAAUAAUAAAAACAGGCCACCGUCAGCAAAGCCUGGAGAAGUGGGGUUGGAGGCUGUGCCCCUACCAUGUCCCUACCACCCAUUCCCACUCACCCUUUUACCCUUAGAGUAGCAAGACAAGCCGCCUGUCUAAUGGGUUGAGACAAACAAGUGCAGACCCUUUGCCGCCUUGGCCAGGGCUGAGUCCUUAAAUUUCUGGAAGACGAUUAUUGUUAUUUAAGAGCUAGAGGCUCAGAGUUUAUUUCUUUCGAGGAAGCCUCAUGGCCUCUCUGAUGGCGUUAAUCCCACCAAAGCAAUUUUUCCCUCAUGGGGGCUCCCAUUUUACUCAGAGAGGCAGCUGAGGCAGGACAAUGGAGCUAAUGUAGACCAGGCGAGGGCACGAGCUGCUGGAGGUGGGUCCCCUUCCCCAGUGUACAUAUUGUAUCUGUGUAACAUUUUGUAUAUUCUGGGGGUAGGGCUGCCCCCUGUAUCAUACAUAGCAGAGGUUGGAGUUGGCACAUGGGGAGGAGGUUCUAAUAAUUAUUUGUGGCUGGGAAACUUAUUUGAUAGCAUAUGACAGAGGAGGGAGGCAGGGAUGGGGUUGUGGCUCCCUGGUGAUGAGACUCCUGUUUAUUUUGCUUUUCAUUUUGGAAUAAAUAGCUUUUAGCCAUACUGCUCA